UACAGAGGUCUCAAGCGUUGUUCGGAUUCAUUGGGCGUAAAGGGUGCGUAGGUGGCAUGGUAAGUCGGAUGUGAAAUCCCGGGGCUUAACCCCGGAACUGCAUUCGAUACUGCCAGGCUAGAGUACUGGAGAGGAGAUUGGAAUUUACGGUGUAGCAGUGAAAUGCGUAGAUAUCGUAAGGAAGACCAGUGGCGAAGGCGGCAUCCUGGCCAUGUACUGACGCUCAGGGGCGAAAGCGUGGGGAGCAAACCGG
rnacentral:rRNA from 1 species